UCAGCCGCCGCGGUAAUACCAGCAGCCCAAGUGGUGGUCGCGUUUAUUGGGCCUAAAGCGCUCGUAGCCUGGCCGGUAAGUUCCCCGUGAAACCAGGUCGCCCAACGAUUCGGCUUGCGGGGAAUACUGUCGGUCUUGGGGCCGGGAGACGCCGAGGGUACUCCGGGGGUAGCGGUGAAAUGCUGUAAUCCUCGGGGGACUACCAGUGGCGGAGGCGCUCGGCGAUAACGGGCCUGACGGUGAGGGGCGAAAGCUGGGGGCGCGAACGGGAUUAGAUACCCCGGUAGUCCCAGCCGUAAAGGAUGCGGGCAAGGUGCUCGUCGCUCUUCGAGGGCGCCGGGCGCCGUAGAGAAGUCGUUAAGCCCGCCGCCUGGGAAGUACGGUCGCAAGGCUGAAACUUAAAGGAAUUGGCGGGGGAGCACA
rnacentral:rRNA from 1 species